GAUUUAUCUUCUUGUCUUCUUUUGUAGGUUAUUACUCCAAAGAGAUUAUUGACAUCUAUUACCUCGAAAAGCAACCUUCUUACACCAGCCAUGGCCAGUCCAGGUGGCCCGAAUGCCAUACGCAGUA